rnacentral:rRNA from 1 species
CGGAUGAACGCUAGCGGCAGGCUUAACACAUGCAAGUCGAGGGGUAUAGGUUUUCGGAUCUAGAGACCGGCGCACGGGUGCGUAACGCGUAUGCAACAUACCUUGUGCAGGGGGAUAGCCCGUGGAAACGCGGAUUAAUAUUCCAUAGUCCAGCUAUAUCGCAUGGUAUAGUUGGUAAAGAUUUAUCGGCACAAGUUUGGCAUGCGUCUGAUUAGCUUGUUGGUAGGGUAACGGCCUACCAAGGCUACGAUCAGUAGGGGUUCUGAGAGGAUUAACCCCCACACUGGUACUGAGACACGGACCAGACUCCUACGGGAGGCAGCAGUGAGGAAUAUUGGUCAAUGGGCGGAAGCCUGAACCAGCCAUCCCGCGUGAAGGAAGACAGCCUUACGGGUUGUAAACUUCUUUUCUGUCAGAAGAAUAAGCUUGUCGAGACGAGUGAUGCCGGUAUGACAGGAAUAAGCAUCGGCUAACUCCGUG